UGAGUUAUCAUGCCAAUGCUGUCGCGGAUAGAUCCCCAGUACCCGUAAGGAAGGAAGAAAACGGACUCCUUCUAGGAUUCCUAUGUAAUCCUACUAAGACUCAUACCAUGUAAUUUUACUAGGAUUCCUCCUUGUAACCGACUAGUAAUCCCACCCUUAGAGUAUAUAAAGGAGGGCAGAGGUCCAUAGAUCGGUAGGCCAAGAUCUCAUAGAACCACAACAGAGGAUAAAAUCCUCAACACCAAACAACACCCAAGCGCAGAGCGCAAUAUACAACACCUCAAACAGGACGUAGAGUAUUAUGCUACUCUGACGACCCGAACCUGUAUAAAUCUGUGUCUUAUGUCCUCGCUUUUACCUUCGAGUUCCAGGUCCGAUGAUCCCCCACCAACCAAUCUACUACCUCGGAAUACCCCUCGGUAGGUUGCUGAGUAUAAAACACCGACAUCUGGCGUGCCCGGUAGGGAUUGGGCGAGCUUGAAGGACCUCAUCAUCAAGAUCAAUCUACC
rnacentral:lncRNA from 1 species